CCUACGGGGGGCAGCAGUGAGGAAUAUUGGUCAAUGGGCGCGAGCCUGAACCAGCCAAGCCGCGUGAAGGAUGACUGCCCUAUGGGUUGUAAACUUCUUUUAUACAGGAAUAAAGUGAGGCACGUGUGCCUGUUUGUAUGUAUUUUAUGAAUAAGGAUCGGCUAACUCCGUGCCAGCAGCCGCGGUAAUACGGAGGAUCCGAGCGUUAUCCGGAUUUAUUGGGUUUAAAGGGUGCGUAGAUGGGUUGUUAAGUUAGAUGUGAAAGGGUGCGGCUCAACCGUGGAAUUGCAAUUGAUACUGGCAGGCUAGAGAGCAGUUGAGGUAGGCGGAAUGCGUGGUGUAGCGGUGAAAUGCUUAGAGAUCAGGAAGAACACCGAUUGCGAAGGCAGCUUACUAAACUGCUACUGACGUUGAGGCUCGAAAGUGUGGGGAGCAAACAGGAUUAGAUACCCUUGUAGUC
rnacentral:rRNA from 1 species